GGAUUAAUCUAAGCUUCUGCUGUGUAUGGACCUGUGGCUACAUUACAAAAUUCAGUUGUGAAGCUAUAAAAUCAAUUAGUCUAGACCUCAAAUCUUAUUUCCUAUGAAAAGCCUCAAACUUGUAGCUGUAUGAACAAGUGUUUUUGGAAUUUUUUUUUUUUUGCUAGAAUGGAGAGAACACACUGGAGAUCACAAAUGCAUUUAUUCUUUUUCACCAACUGUUUCAUUGGCCUUAAAAAAUACUAGGCUAAACUUAAGUGGUAAAGAUCUGAAAUAAAAAGAUGCAUCUUUAUGUCUGAACAGCAAUUUUUCAUAGGUCUCUAAUAACUUGCAUUUCCUUAUCUAUGGAUAAGGAGAUCUGAAAUUGAUCUACAUUUUCUUUAGUAAUGUUUUCUCUGUUUAUUGAGAACAGAUAUCUUCAUCUCCUUCAUGCAUUAUCCUUAGUAACAGAUGUCAGUAGGAUCCAGAGCCAUUUUGGAACUUUACCAAGGAUUAAGGAUGAGCACAGAUCACAUCAAGAGUCUAAAUAUCACUUUGGAGGCCAUGUGCAGAUCAGAUUUGGAAGUGACCAAGACUGGAGGCAGGGACACCAGAGUUUUCUGUUAAAAACUGGUCCAUGCAAGAAAAGAUGACUCCUGAAAUAAGACAGUGAUCAUUAGGAUGAAGAGGAAGAGAAGAUUUGAGGAAUACUUAGAACAGAAUUUACUGAAUUUACUGGUUGAAUUGAAUGUGAAGAGGAGAUGAAUAAAGAAGAAAACACCCUCAAAGGAACAAAUAUGAAACAAUCUCUGGAAAAUGGAAUUUGAUUUUGAUUCAACAACAGGAGAAUUCUACUGUUUUUCUCCAGCAGCUCCACGAUAAAAGGGAACCCUGAGCAGAACACAUGCACAAACUCAUGCCAUACCCUAAGGGACAAGGUUCCCCACAUCUACUUGGAAAUCUUUGGGAUGCUCAAUGGAGAAAAACAAGGAGAGAAAAAUCUAAACCCAGCAGAAGAGAAAGUUUAAGAAAGCGGUCGUCGCCAAUACCAAAAUUAGCUAUGAUAUUCAGGAAGAAAAAAAUGGAAACACGAUAACCACAGUCAAUAAAGACCAAGGCCACAUUCCAUUGACCAGAGCUCAGCCACGCGCCACACCUGGCUAAAGAGACUCUGGCUGAAGAAUUCCCUGAAUAUUUUAAUGUAGCUCUAGGUUAUAACACAGAACAACCACAAGGUGGCAGAAGAACUCCAUUCUUGUAAAUCUCUUAGUUGCUUCUUUAUUUCAUCUUCCCUAUUCCAUCUAAUGUUCCCUGAAUUUUACUAUUUUGUUGGUUUGAAAAUAUGUGUGACUUACGUCCUUUAAAGGAUUUGGUUCGUAAGGUUUUGAAUAGACUGGAAUAUAAAACAUUUAUAGAAAAGAAAAAUACCUACAGUAUGAUGUUAGUGAACUAUUAAUAAUCCAAUUAAAUAAAAUAUAUUUGCUUUGGAUUAAUACAAAAA
rnacentral:lncRNA from 1 species